UUCCACCAUUUUUUUAAAUACUUUUUACAAUAAAGUUUGGAUUUAAUUCUAAUUUCAUAAGUAAACCUUGCAUUCUAAUUUGGUUGCUAUUUGAACUGCUGCUAGAAGAUCCGACGUCAACUCGUUGGCCGUUGGGUUGGAUUUCGAUAAUUUCUCCUUGCCGAUUGAGACUGUUUUUUUUCAUAUUAAGGGUACUUUUCACUUUGUUGAUUGAGAAAUUACGUGUCUUUUGUUUGAGAAGAUAUUUUCUCAAUUUUUAUUUUGAGUAUUUUUAUUAAUGAUAGAUAUAGCUUAUUUUUUGUUUUCAAUCUGAUGUUUUUUUCGAAUUUUCCGCAGUUGUUAUAUCCAGUGGUCCCUUUUUCUUUUUUAUUGUCUAAUUUGUAACAACUUGAUGAACGUCGAACAUGAUCCAGCUUUUGCAAGAAUUUUUAUCACGUUUGGCGGACCAGGUGUCCUAAAGCCGGAGCAGAGGCUGCAAUUGGGGCAAUAUUGGUGCCGGAGGAGAAGAAAUAGUUGAUGGCGGUGAAGCCGGAGCAGAAGGUUGAGCUGGGGGAAGUGAAGCUAGAGCCGAAGAUUGAGUUCGUGGCAUUGGAGCCAUAGCAGGUGCUUGAGCCAAAGUGCAAGUGAAUUGGGGCAAGAAAAGAAAGGGUGAGACUAAGUUGGAAGUACAUUUUUCUUUCUUUAUUUAGCUAAUUUGAAUUUUGUUAGAUGGGAGGGAGAAGGAGAAUGUGUGCCAGUUAUAUAGUAAUUUGUGGGUUGAUUUCUUGCUCCAACAUAAUUAAUGAAAAAAGUUUGUGGGGUAUUCUGAUGAUGGAAAUUGUUAGGUGAGCAGGUGCAAUCUAAGGUGAGUUGAGAAUAAUAUGUUAUUUACUUCUAUAUACAACUACUAGCUUGAUUAUCAAGGCAAAAAAAGCUGGGAAGGUGAAUUCCUUUGUAGAUAAUAGAUCCGUAAAUAGAUUUGUAUGUAUAGCCACUUCAAUCGUGUUCGUCCUUUCUCCAAAAUUAUCUUUUUUUCUGGGAACAUGGUCAGCUAGAAAUUAUUAUAUUCACGAUUCUUCAUCCACCUAUGGAUAAAAUAUUUUAGUUUUCCAUUCUCAUAUGAGUCCGGAAAGUAAAUUGGCCAUUCAGUUAUGUUAUGUGAUUUGAGGUAGGUCAAAUUGUUAGGUAAAAAUAUUUCAAAUUAUGUUUUUUGUUGUAUGCGUUUAGAGGCCUACCCGCUCUACUAAUUCAUAUUCGUCUUGCGUGGAUGAUAGAAACACUUUCUUCCAAGAGUAAUUUUAUUUUCAGAGCUUGAACUUAAGAUCUCUAGUUAUAGGUGUAACAAUAUCAUUCAUCCCACCAUACUCGUUGGUGGUAUAUUUUAAGUUUUCUAUAUGUGAUCAUAAACUAAAUAUAGGACAGUUGUGAAUGAUUACUCAUGGUUUUGUGAGACAAGAGGCUAAUUUAGUUGUAAUGGCACUUGUCACAAUCAAGAAUAUCUUGGUACAGCUGAUGAUAAUGUAAUGUAUGAUAACAAGUGAUAAUCCAUAUAUUUGUUGUAUUAUCUGCUAUCUUUUUGCAGUGUCAAUGCAUGACAGUAUAUCACAACCAUUUUUAGCAGAUGAGCUUAAACUUUCAGGAGGACUAAUAAUGAUUAGUGAUGCUGAGAAGUUUCCUUUUUAUUUUCAUUUGGCACGAAACUUCUUUAUUUACAACUCUUGCUCUGAUGGAUCCAAUAUGUGUUAUAUGGACUUGUGUUCUAAAGCAAUUGCUUAAAAUGUGUUUAUGCACUUGUGGUUCACUAUGUUUGUUUUAUUUGCAAGAAGCUUCUCUUGGUAGACCAGCCAUUCAUGAAGAGGUACGUAAGAAGAUCCAUAUGAAAAUUAGAGAUGGAAAAGAAGUUUGGAUCGAAACAAGGGUAGAAGAUACUUAUCAAUUGAAGAACUCAAAAGGAGUGGACUGACAGAUGAUCAAGGCAAUCCAAUCAUGCCAUCAGAUGAAGAAACUCUCUCUUGCUAGAUGGAUGUAAUUGGGGACGUGUGUAAGGAAAGGGCAUACCGCCUUUGCUUUGGGAAGAACUUUUACCGUCUUCUGGAUUGCAAGGUAUAGGGAAUUCUGCCACCAUGUCAGAUGAGCAGCUUGAGGAGAUGUGACAGAAAGUUUAGGAGCAUUCUAGGAAGUACGAGGAGGAAAGAAAAAGAAGGAUGGAGGAGGAGCGGUGUAGGACGACACUUGAGUCUGUCAUCAAGGAACUCAAGGUCAAGUAAAUACCUUAAUCAAGCUUCCUCGUUCUCCGCUCCUAGCUCUGAUGAUGAUGGUGGAGAGGAUGAGGAUGGAAUGGAGUAUUAGGUUAUGUUGUUUUAGGUUUGAAUUAUGUUAGGUUGGAGUGUUUGAAAAAAUUUGUUUUGGUAAUUGUUUGCGUACUUUUCUUGUUUACAUAUUGUUUAAGAGUUGGAUGAAUAUAUAUGAAGUUUGGUUAC